AUUGAACGCUGGCGGCAGGCCUAACACAUGCAAGUCGAGCGGUAGCACAGAGAGCUUGCUCUCGGGUGACGAGUGGCGGACGGGUGAGUAAUGUCUGGGAAACUGCCUGAUGGAGGGGGAUAACUACUGGAAACGGUAGCUAAUACCGCAUAACGUCGCAAGACCAAAGAGGGGGACCUUCGGGCCUCUUGCCAUCAGAUGUGCCCAGAUGGGAUUAGCUAGUAGGUGGGGUAACGGCUCACCUAGGCGACGAUCCCUAGCUGGUCUGAGAGGAUGACCAGCCACACUGGAACUGAGACACGGUCCAGACUCCUACGGGAGGCAGCAGUGGGGAAUAUUGCACAAUGGGCGCAAGCCUGAUGCAGCCAUGCCGCGUGUAUGAAGAAGGCCUUCGGGUUGUAAAGUACUUUCAGCGGGGAGGAAGGCGAUAAGGCUAAUAACCUUGUCGAUUGACGUUACCCGCAGAAGAAGCACCGGCUAACUCCGUGCCAGCAGCCGCGGUAAUACGGAGGGUGCAAGCGUUAAUCGGAAUUACUGGGCGUAAAGCGCACGCAGGCGGUCUGUCAAGUCGGAUGUGAAAUCCCCGGGCUCACCUGGGAACUGCAUUCGAAACUGGCAGGCUAGAGUCUUGUAGAGGGGGGUAGAAUUCCAGGUGUAGCGGUGAAAUGCGUAGAGAUCUGGAGGAAUACCGGUGGCGAAGGCGGCCCCCUGGACAAAGAUGACGCUCAGUGCGAAAGCGUGGGACCCACCGGAGGAGAUACCUAGAGGGCAGGGGGGAUUCCCGUGGGUUUCAGGGGGGGGGGGCCGCCGACUUUAGUGGGGGUCGGGGGUCAGCUUUUGUUCCCUUAA
rnacentral:rRNA from 1 species